AUACAUGCAGUCGAACGGACAGAUUGCAGAGCUUGCUCCCUGAUGUUAGCGGCGGACGGGUGAGUAACACGUGGGUAACCUGCCUGUAAGACUGGGAUAACUCCGGGAAACCGGGGCUAAUACCGGAUGCUUGAUUGAACCGCAUGGUUCAAUUAUAAAAGGUGGCUUUUAGCUACCACUUACAGAUGGACCCGCGGCGCAUUAGCUAGUUGGUGAGGUAACGGCUCACCAAGGCAACGAUGCGUAGCCGACCUGAGAGGGUGAUCGGCCACACUGGGACUGAGACACGGCCCAGACUCCUACGGGAGGCAGCAGUAGGGAAUCUUCCGCAAUGGACGAAAGUCUGACGGAGCAACGCCGCGUGAGUGAUGAAGGUUUUCGGAUCGUAAAACUCUGUUGUUAGGGAAGAACAAGUACCGUUCGAAUAGGGCGGUACCUUGACGGUACCUAACCAGAAAGCCACGGCUAACUACGUGCCAGCAGCCGCGGUAAUACGUAGGUGGCAAGCGUUGUCCGGAAUUAUUGGGCGUAAAGCGCGCGCAGGCGGUUUCUUAAGUCUGAUGUGAAAGCCCCCGGCUCAACCGGGGAGGGUCAUUGGAAACUGGGGAACUUGAGUGCAGAAGAGGAGAGUGGAAUUCCACGUGUAGCGGUGAAAUGCGUAGAGAUGUGGAGGAACACCAGUGGCGAAGGCGACUCUCUGGUCUGUAACUGACGCUGAGGCGCGAAAGCGUGGGGAGCGAACAGGAUUAGAUACCCUGGUAGUCCACGCCGUAAACGAUGAGUGCUAAGUGUUAGAGGGUUUCCGCCCUUUAGUGCUGCAGCAAACGCAUUAAGCACUCCGCCUGGGGGAGUACGGUCGCAAGACUGAAACUCAAAGGAAUUGACCGGGGCCCGCACAAGCUGGUGGAGCAUGGUGGUUUAAUUCGAAGCAACG
rnacentral:rRNA from 1 species